UCCCGUGAACUGAGAUUUUACAUCCUUCCAAAAUAUACAGCAAACUACUUCAUCAUGAGCUGUACAGGCUUUUAAAGAUUUUAGAAACCAUCUAACCUACUUUAACAAGAAGUGGAGCAUACCAUCCUCUAAAGGGGCAAGGAGGAACAUGGGUGCACACAGGUAUUAACAUGCCCGCUGCGGCAGCUACGGAAUUGCAGUCAGAAUCUGAUGGAGAUGUGUUUGUUAUGAUCGUGUGGGUGCGAAAUGUUGAGGGCAGUAGCUAAAGAGAACAACUAUUUACUGUAGUCAGGAAAGAAUGCCUCCAAUUAGAAGACUAUUAACUUUGUAACAACUGUAGCCCGAAGUAUUGAACUUUAAAAGUCUCUGAAUCUCAGUGUGUUCUACCAAAUAUUCAUCAAUUUGCAAAGCAAGUAAGACCUCCAACAGGGUCCUCUAAGGAUCAUGAAUGCUAUCUCCUAUAAGGAACAUAUAUUUACAGAAAAAUUCUGCCACUGAACAUGAUGGACAAAUGUGAAAAAGUUGCAAGUGGCACGUAUAUUUCAACAAGACGGAUGAGAGAAACAGAUUUUCAGCAUUUUGAUUGAAGGACACAAAGAAGAAAAAAGGAAGGGCAUAGAUGAUCGGAAAGACAGGCUCAAACUCCUUCUGAGAAGCCGUCUACUAUUUUUGUAUUAUCCAUGAGGUAGAUCAUUAACAUGGCACCUCAAAAAACUUCUACACAGUGCAGCCUUAGUCUGCUGAGCUACAUUUUCCAUUCAAGAGGCAUCUGCUUAUGGCCACUGAUGGAGAUAGGAUAUUGCUACAGGUCACUUUCCAAGUCAUGGACAAAAUGGACCACUAUGCUGAUCUGGUUAGUUAGUUACCAAUUCUUACUUAAAAAACAAACAAACAAACAAACGAACAACCCCCGCCCCUAGUUUUACUUAACUUUAAUACUAACAUGCUCUCUUUAGAGAUGAGAACUAGGCCUUGCCUUCUCAAAACUCAAAACAUUAAGAGAGCAAAUAUUAUUUUGCCCAUCCUAUAUCUGGGGAAACAGACAUAAUAAUAUUUCUCCCCAAGCGGAAAGGCCGGGAUCAAAACCUAAAGUCCUCUUUGCUACUCAGACUGACAUUUCAAAUGGUCGUUGCCAUCUUUCAACAGCCUAGUCUAGCCAGUAAUUUGCUACAAACAACAUCAAACUUCCUUUCUAGGUCAACCCUGACUAUAGCACUAUUUGCUUUCUUUCUUUCUUUCAAGACUUUCAUUUACUUUCUUUCUUUUAAGACUUUCCAAAAAGUCUUCAAGGCAGCACGCUGCCAGCGAGUCAUGAUUUGGGGACACAUAUAACACAAACACUAUCUCACAAAGACUGAAUUCUUUUAAAUGGCCAAAAUAGGUGUUUAUUUCUUAACACGCAGCUGAACCGGCCCCUUUGGCUAGAGAAACAUACACAAGUUAAACAUAAAACAAACCCGAUGCAGCAACACCAGGCUUAACAAGCACAGUGCAUAAAGGUCCGAUUCCACCAUCGCCUUCCAAAUUUGUGAAGUCACUUAAACUAACAAAGCAGAUAUAAGCCAGCACCGCUCUAAUUUGGCAAGGCACUGCCCUGGUGCAAAGGUAUAAAUGACUCCACAGGCUAUAAAUAUAUUCUGUACGAAAAACCUUAACUUUUUUGGGG
rnacentral:lncRNA from 1 species